AGGUCACGGCGAGACGAGCCGUUUAUCAUUACGAUAGGUGUCAAGUGGAAGUGCAGUGAAGAAGGUCACGGCGAGACGAGCCGUUUAUCAUUACGAUAGGUGUCAAGUGGAAGUGCAGUGAUGUAUGCAGCUGAGGCAUCCUAACAGACCGGUAGACUUGA
rnacentral:rRNA from 1 species